UGUCAAACAAGCCAUCUCAGAAUGAUCAGAGGCCCGUGGGAAGGGCAGGGGGGAGGGGGCAUUAUUUUGCAGCGUUGGGACCACUUCUUCUCCCCAUUACAUCAUGCUGAGAAGAAGACAACUAGACACUACAGAUUCUGGAAGCUUCGUGCAACUCAUAUAUUAGCUCAGAUGCCUCUGAGGGAACGGAGAAAGGAAAGGGCAGCACAUCGAACCAGACGAUCCCAUCUCACUGCAACGUCUACAACCCAGUGACUUCAUGGGACAAGACGCUAUGGGAAAGAAGUAACUAAUGGACUCGAAAUGCUGACUGGAUGCUUCCGGAAAAGGAUUCGCGGUGCAAGGGCUCAGGUGCAGAUUGUCAAUGAAUGGAGAAGAGGGGGGCUGGAGAGGAGACGCAAAACGACCCAAGACGGCAGGAAAUGGGAGCCGGCAGAGGACGGGAACAGCGCCAAAGCCGCAUGAGGAAGACAAAACGGUGAGGACAAACAAAACUACGUCGAAAAAAGAAUACAGAGAAGAAACACCAGGAACAGUGAAGGAUCCAAGGUGAUCAUACGAUGGGAAACUAACAGCAAGGCAUCCCUACCUAAGACUACAAGGACUACAUGAACAGUGAGCGAGGUUCUCUACUCUGCUUCUAAAAUCCAUAAACCAAUUACUUCCGGGUCAGGCCGAGCCCAUGAGGACAGCCCACCGGCUUUGACAGGAUAGCAGCGGCCAAGUGAUUUAUAGUUUAUACGUUAGAUGUCUAGCCGUUUGUCAGAAAUAAGAACAUACAUCGAGGGGAUGCUUUUUCUACCCUUGUUUAACUUUCUUUUCUUGUGUAACACUCAUUUUACGGUAGCUACGCGGGACCAUGAAUCCUAUAAUGCUGAGAUGACGAUACCGAAUCCUGCGUCGUGAACCGCAGUGAGCCAACUACCAGUGCAAAAUGACCCAGCCAAUGCACCUUUUAUGAUGGGAGGGGGUGUCCAAUUUCAAAUGCAUCAGGCAUCUAUCCAUGCAGCUCAUCCUGGUCAUGGGGAAGCAGGACUCUAUGAACA